UAAAUUCUGGUAAUCUAGUCUAAACAGGCCUCCUUGGGGAUUUCAUGUGGGGACAUCCAUGGCGGGGCCCAAACUUGGUAUCAAAUCCUCCUAUCUACUCACCCCGAUGAAGCCCAACUACGCUCCAGAGGAUAAAGCCCAGCCCACACUCCGCAUUUAGCAAUCCGAACUGCUUGCCGCCGUCAGCCACCACCUCGUCGGCGUCGGAGGCCACCGCCCACCGUCCUAUACCCUCCACUCCAUCCAAGGAGGAGAAAACGAACCCAGCCUCACCCAGGCUCGUUCAGACGCCGACCAACGCGAUCGCUUCCUCCGACGCCUCCCGCGCUCUCCACGAACAACUGGUAUCGCUGCAGUGCCAAACGGUGAUCGGCCGGGGCCGCCUGGUUCAAACUUCAAAGCAAACUUCGAUUCGCAUCUCGCCGGUUGAGUUUCAUAGGCGCGUUGCCUGAUGUAUCCUAGUUGGAAUGGACGCUGGCUGCUGGGUGUGUGAGGCCCUUAGCAGGUAACUUGGAGGGAUGGGCGUGGGCCGGCCAAUCUGCUAGUUGUAGAUGGCGCGUUAUCUGAAGACGCAGAAUGGCCACGUCCAUGUGGUAUGGUCUCCUUUCUAUUUGGAGAAUCCACCAAGCAGAUUUUAUACUUUAUUAAGAUUUUGUGAUACUUGAACUUAAACACCAACGAUUUGUUGUAAAUGAGCACUUAUUCUCAUAAUGAAACUCAGUAAUCUUUAUUGAGGUGGGUAACAUAGGAAGAUGACCUUCAAAUGCUAGUUUGUUCCAUAUGAUAUGAGUCAAUUACUCUAGAACCUAACUGUCAACUAACAUCUCAUAUGUUUUCAACUAUUUUAGGUGGACUAAUUUCUGAAUUGUGAAUGGUACUGCCUCCAUGUAGAUGUUUCUCUGAAUCUUUUCUUCAGCUUGAUCCCAGAAACCUGUUAAACCAACCAUACAAUAUUGUUAAGAAAUGGUGUUUAAUGGAACUGUUCUCCUAGAAUAAGAUGCCUGAUUUCUUGUGUCAUUGUAACCAGAACACGAACAGGUGAGGGGUCGUUGUGAUAGUGAAUUUAUGUGUGCCUCUUUCUUGCAUAGGCUUGUAUCACUAAUUUAUUGAAAUAGACAUUGUAUGAAGAGGUGACGAAGCAUUUCAUCACCCAUUGACUUAGAAAGAGAUCUUUUUUUGUAAUAAUGCUAGAGGCACCACUCAAAAUACAUAGUUUGCUUAUGGCCUUUAAGACCUUAGGAAAGAACACUCCUAUCCUAAAAGGAAUUUGUUCGAAACCAAAGAAAUUGAGGCGUUAAACUUUUGUUCACUAUAUAAUAUCAUCAAGGAAAUGUAUUUAUUUUAGAUUUAGAGUAUUCCUAAAUUUUGAUGCUUCAUUCUUUGUUGACUUUGUGCUUGUGUUAGAUGAGAUACUAAUGCCUAAUGAACCAACCAUUGUUAUCUAUCUAGAGAGAGGACCCUUUUGGAUUUGUAUGAUUUAGUGUCUAUAUAACAUCUACUGUUGUAUUAAUGUAUUAUUCUAAAACAUAAAGUUUCUGUCCUACCUUCUGCCACCAACACCACUUUCCUUUUGGCAGUUGAAGUAUAAUGCAGCAACUGGUGCUCCAAGAUUGUAAAUUGCCGAGAAGUCUCUGAUGUUGAAAUUUUGCCGCCAUCCUGGUGCAUAAACUGUUUGUCUUGCUUGCUGUUUGAACAGCACAAAAACAAUUCGAUGAAUUCCAGCUGGUGGCCUUGGGCUUUCAUAGGGAACUAUUUCAUUGCCUGAAAAAAGCAUGUAUUCCUUAUUAGAAUGCUUUGCUAUAAUUUUUUAGGUUAAUCCUAGCAUUAACCAUUUUGUGCUAAUGACUUUUGUAAUUGUAACUGUUUUUUCACUACCUGCUGUCCUCAACAUUGUGUUCAGUUGGCACCAUGCCACCCCCCCCCCCCCCAACACACACACACAAAGAAAAUCAACACAUCCACCCACCCAAAAAGAAAAGAAAUACACACACGAUAGGUUCUGAUGAUGAAGUUAUUGCUACCUAUAGCAUAUUAAAUGUAGACCCUUAUAGCUUCUACAAUCAAAAGUAAAUUAAAUAUCAAAGCUUACCAUAUAUAAUGUACAUGUGUAAUAUCCCCAUUAUUGAGAGUAUAAAUCAUAAAUUCACAAAAAACAUGAGGUCUAUUAUGAUUAUGAUGUGCUAGUUUUAUUUCAUUUGUUUAAAAUGUUCUUAACUUUUUUCUUACAGUCAGAAGUUUUUCUAUCUGCCAGCCUAAGCUGAUUGGGCUGCUAGAUUGUGCAUGAAACAUGCAUUGCUAAAGAUAUGUUUAUGAGUCUACAGUAAUGCUUCCUGAUUUUGAAGAAAUCCCUGGUGCAAUUUAAAAUUUGUCACAGAAGUAGUUCUGUAGUUGUAUAAUUGAUAACAAGGGAGUUGAGCUAGCUCAGUUGGUCAAGCCAAGAGUGUGGAUGUAUGACCAGACCACCUAGGUUGAAGUCCUCAUGGAGGCAAAUUUUGAUGCCUAUUUUCUUUUUAAUAAAAUGCCACCUACAUUCUUCUAGGUUGAUCUAUUUUUUUAUGUAUGCAACAAUUGAUAACCAUUAAUAUGUUUGAUAUCAUCAUGCUAAUAUAUAGUAUUUUUGAGAUCUGGUUGAAAGCUUCCUGAAGGAGACAUCUAGGUCAUGAAACAUUUUUGACACCUUAUAGUAUCGUAUUUAAUUUAAACACUAAGCUCAAUUUCAUUUUUGUCUAGAAUGGAAGUUCUAAUGCGUGACAUUCUGAAGGACAUCUCAAAGAUUUAAUAUAUAGCUGCAACCUUUAUUUUUGUGGGCGCACACAGAAGAUACCAUUAGUUGAGCAUUGUAUAUUGUCAUGCAAUGAAUUAGGUAACAAUAGCCAUCUACUUUAUUUCCUGUAGAAGUCUCACCACACUGACUAAAGUGAUCAAGUGGAUCCCACAGAAAAUACCAUGAUGUCAGAUCCUCAACUUGAGAUCCUUAACCUGCAUCAAAAUAGGUGUCGUCACAUAUUAGAGUGGGGUCCCCCUCUCGGUGCUGGAAACUCCCACGUGAGUGGGGCUGGGGUCUGAGGAAGGGAUAAACCGAGGCAACCCUUCUCCACAAAUGCGGAGAGGCUGCUUCGAACCCACGGCCUGGUGACACAUUGAGACAACUCUCACCAUUGCACCAGGUCUACCCUGCCUUCACAUUUGACUCUUAGGUAUGCAGUAUUAAAAUGGUUCUUAGUAAGUUUAGUCUUCAAUAAAAUCAUCUAUCCUAAUCUUUUCAAUUGCUGAAUGACGAUGAAUCCAAAAGGUAGGAGGAUUAUGAAUUUUCAUUCAAAAGAAACAAGCGGUAGCCACUAUGGCAAUUAAGGAGAUUGAACCAAACCACAAUGACUUAUGAGAUGAAAGUGUCUGAUUUUUUCUUUAACCUAUUAAAUUCACCUAGCAUGCACUUGGCCAGAAAGUAUUUGAUGUAGAUGUCGGCUUCUGGUAUUUUACAUGACACCACUUGCAACUAGUAUGUGAAUAAUUUAGACAAAUUUAGUUCACUACAAAAAUUCUUGAACUUACUAUAAGUCCAUGCAUCUUUCUUCAAAUAUUGAUGUCAUCAGUAAUAAGCAUGGAUGCCAGGCAUAAUAGCAUGCACGCAACAUAAGAUAAAUGUGUAAAGGUUUUAAUAUAAAUGAUGUGUUACAUAGCAUCUUUGAAACAAAAUUCACAUCACCAUUUGCUCACCAAAGCAGUUACUUCGUCAAAGCAUUUUACCUCUUUCACAUCAAUUGUUUUGGCAAAUUCUACAAUCUAGAUGUUACAUUUGCAAUAGUGAUUCUUCCAUAGUUACUUAAAUCCUUUACUAUCAUCAGAUGUUUUGUCAUUUGACAUACAUUUAACUGGCCACAUGUUCAUUGUGACAUUGUCACAUUUCCAAGAGCAAGGUGCUGGUGAAAUGUUUAAAUUUAGUGGAAGAUGAUAUAUAUUAUGUAUAUUUAAUUAAGACGCAACAUGAAUCUGGAGUUGUUUGCGUUUUAUGUGAAACAAUAAUGUUCAAAGAUCUGGAGUUGUUUGGAAGUAGUCCUAAAAAAAGUUUAAAGAUCUGUGCCUUAAAUGCUAAUUCAUAAGAAGAGGUCAGGUAAGGUUUUACCCACCAGAACAUAUGUCUCUUGCCUCUGGUAUAUCUGUUACCAACCUGUAAAAGAAAAUAAACAAGAUGAAAAGAAGCAAGGGCAUGCCUUUAGAUCUUUGAUUGGUAUGGUAUCAAAAUUACUUAUGCAAUCUAGAUAAUUAAGUAAAUAGUUUUAAUUGUAAAACAUACAUGAAUUUGGAAUAUUGAUGUUCAUGUAGAUGUAAGAGUUUAACUGGUGUUUUCUAUUAACAAUAGCUGAUUUGCACAUUCACAAGUCACAAGUCUAGUGUAAGCCUUUAUCCCCAUAGUUUUGGACUAUCGAAAUAAGUGUAAAACUGUAAUUGCAUGCAUGCAUAUGCAAUAUCUUUCAUGUCAAUCUUGUAACUAAUGCCUUAUCUGAUUAAAUGAUAUAACAGUUUACCUUAUUUUUAACUGAGAAUUACAAUAUUAAAGUAGUCUAGAUAGAAUUUGGGUCCAUGGCUGUUCUCUUUAAUUUAUCCAUGAAGUAAUUAAUUGACAGAUUUUGAUAUAGCAGACCACCUUGUCCAUACAGAGUUUGUAAAAUAUCUUCUUGACAAAUUUAGAAACUAUUAUGCUGUAAAAAUAUCUACAAUAUUACUCAUUUUAUUUGUAUGCUAUAGAUAUCAAUUCAACUGGAAACUAAUGUUGACAAUAAAAAACAGUCUGCACAAUGAGACUUAGGUUAAGCGAAUUACGGUGAUUGAAAACAAAAGUUACUCUAUCACAGAAACUUUGGUUUCUUACCCAAUAGCAUACAUAACAAGAGUUCUUCAGAUGUUGAUGGAUGGAAAAGAAACACCCCCCUCCUUUUUUGAGAGGGCUGCAUCCAAUCCUGCAGGUUAUCUAGGUAAGGGGUCCUUGAACUACAAACAUAAAAACAAUGUGCCAAGUAGCAUUCAUUUGUUUCUUUUAGAAAGGUGGCGCUAUCCAGAGUUUAGGAAAUAUUCAACUCAAAAUUUACUUGAAUAACAAAUACAAUAAGCUCACCAAUGCAGAUAUUCCCUGUACUCUGGUUUGCUUGGACUUGGUGCAUCAGGAUCCACCAUAACCUUAGAAGAGGUAAGUUUGAACUUUAGCAUUUUUAUUUCAUGUGUUGUAAAGGAGCCGAGACUUAAUUCUAGAGAGCAAAUAAGAGGGGGGUUAAAAAAGAGAGUGCUUUUGGUGACCUUACUGGAAGGUGUGAUUUUUUUUCACCAAAAUCAGCCAUAAGUUGCAAUAAAACACAUGUUGUUAAGCACUCACAACCAUGUUGUGCAUGUGCAGAAUAUGUUGUACGUGUACAAUGUGUCUGUGAGCCAGAUAAUGGUACAGGUGUGGGAAUAAUUUGUCUGUGACUUUUGUAGUUUUCUUUUUUUUACCAUGGAUUUGGAGGGUGUUCACAGGCAGAGGCAGCAACAUGAGAGCUACCAUGCAACUAAUGUACUUGUAACUUGUAAGUCCUUAUCCUGUACAAUAUCCUUACCAGAGAAGCAAGAUAGUGCGCAGAAGCAUAUUCUAAAAUAUGUAUGUAGGGUACAUGAACUUGGUCAUCAACAAAAGGAUUCUGUGUGGUGUCCUUUGUACAACCAACAAAUACCAUCCAGCGAGAUAUUCUGUUUUUGUUCUCAGAGCAACAUUCUAUUCAACCUAAUCAAUAAUUCAUAAUAGUUAUAUCAUCGAAAGUUAUUAGUACUUUUGUAAACCAACAUUUGUGCAGUUUUAUCGCUUAUUCUAAGUAGAACAACAUGUAUAUGUUGUAAUUUUUCAGAAAGAGAAAAUAUAUAAUAAAUUAGUGUUUGGAGUGCACAGGUCACUCUAAGAACUCUUCUGGUUAUACUAUGCUUACCUCUUCUCACAUGAGAGUGAUCUUUUUAGUUGAACCUUUUCUUGCAAUCAAAGUCAUGUUUCACCUUACCCAAUGCAAUGCAUAAACACAUGCGCUCUACAUAUCAGGAUCCUACAAUCUAUUAUGGUCACUUACAAGUGUGUAGAGAUUUGUUUGGUCGUGGCCUUCAAUCUCAACAUGUGGUGCAUUGAGCACAGCAGAUGCUCGUAGUCCAGUGCCAUUUGUGAUCUCCUUGUCACCAUAAUUAAUCCUCAUCGUUGCUGACUUUAUGAAAGGAUCCAACACAUCACCAAUUACCUGGCUCAAUGCCAAAGGAUCCCUGCCUCGUGACAUAGUUCAGUAUACAAUUGAGUUGAUGGCUAUAGAAGAGAGCUUCGUUGAUCCACAACUAGGUGGAAACUAUAAUGUGCUGGAAGAGCUAUCAAAUGAUUUUGUGUGUGGGGAGAACAGAGCAGUUCUUUGUAAAUUUAUAUUAGUUGUGAAGCAUCCACUUUAUGUUCACAACAUUCCAUUGAGCACUAUAAGAAGAUAGAAUCUUACUUUUAAUAUAUCAUUAUUUUUCCUUAUAUUUGCUUCUUUGUUGCAUGGACAUGUAGAGUACCUAUCAACCUCCAGAUGGCCUAGUUGUAGUUGAACCUGCACGAUCUUUGUGAAUGAUAUCUAUGGUCAGUUUUUCAUGCAUAUAUUCUCCAAAGACAGGAGGUAUGUUUAAAGCUUCAAGAGUUAGCCUCCCCUGCAUGGCGCCUUGCCUGGGCUUGGCCAAAGGUUCACGAUGUGCCAUUUGAUGUUCAACGAUACUUCUCUUGAGUGGUGAGCACAUAGAUGUAGAAAGAUUCUUUGGAUCAACAUCACAAUGCAGCAGUACGAAACCUGGGGAGGUAGAGCCAGGUCAUUAGCAAUCUUCUUUCUUCUCUUCAUUUUCUUUUCCUUGACGGCAAUUGAAGUAUCAAGCACUUCCCUCUUGACCCUUGCUUGAAAACUGUUCUGUGGACUUGUUUCAUAAGGCCUUAGUUCAUGCUCUUGUCUACAAUGUCCCCAUACAUUACAUACAUGACUUCUCUGUUCAUUUUCAGUUUUAAAUGUCUAUUUUCAUGGUCUAGUGUGUGUUUCCAUUUACCAUUGUGCCAUUGUCAUAUAUUCACAUGUUGGUACUUUGCCCCUCGUCCGCACAAUACAAAUGUAUGCAUGUAGAGGAUUAUUCGGACCAAACUGGGACCAAAGAAGCAUCUCCUGGCCUGAAUCGACACAUCAGUGUCUUAAUAUCAUCAGAUGGACUUAUUCCAGAUUCCUCACGACAUUUAAAAUGUCUAUGCAAGAAGAAAUUACACUUUCGAUGGUGUGAAUGGGCAUUCAGAACUUCUGAGAAUAGACUCAUCAUACCAUGGAGAUUGCAUUGAAGUUGUUUCAGGCGGAACACCACAUUCUGCCUCGGACCUCCACAGAAGCCUCAAUAUGUGCAACUGCCAUAAACAAUUCAUGCAGAUUUGUUUUCUUCUUUCAGCAGGGAAUAAAAGGUGAGGUGCACUGCCUACUACAUUAUGUACGUUCUGCUCUACUUUAUACUCUAAAAGCCAUCCUCUGCCUUAUAUUCCGCUUUGUCGUCAAGUACACCGUGCUUUCUCAGGCUUCUUUCACCUUUUUUUCUGAAUAGCAUAUAAGACUAUAUACUGGAGUGUAAGCAACAAAUGUAUGAAAAUCAAUACAUGCUUAUGCAUCAGGGUUCUCAUUUCGUUCCAGCGAUCAUAACAACCGCACAGAGACAGACUGCAAACUAGUUUUUGACUAUUAGAUAACUACUACUUUGGACGUGUCCUCUGGGAAAGUUGCUUGAAGGCAUGCAAGUUUGCAGUGAGAACACAAAACCCUUUUGAAGGGAAUAUACUCAACGUCUAACGAUCUCUUGGAAUAAAGGCAGUAUAGGUACUGUCCUGCAGAUCAGAUGGGCAUCUCCACCAGGACGUUUGCAAGCAGAAAGGUAGAAGAUCACCUUUGAACUUUGAAAGUUCUGACAUCCCGAGGGGGCAAAAGGCGCCAGGGAAUUUCUCCCGCACUGCAAACAGCCUACACCCAGAUCCAGCUUCUGUGGAUGAACUCUUGCCAUGCCAGACGUUGGUCCUCCUUCUCUGCUCCUUCUAUAAUGUUCACCAGCCAGCUGGAAAUGCUGCUAAAGUCAGUACAUAAUUUUGAGCUGCCAAUAGCUAAUCCUGGAGUCCUGGGACCCUAUGCUUUCUUGCUGUCUGCAAAUUUAUUUGUCACAAGCUUACAUGAUUGAAUUCUGGCAUUGAAUUGGAUGGUUGGCAUCACCAAUUCGUCAUGUCAAUUCUUCAAAUUUACAAUGCAUGAUGGUUCUAGUGGUAAGAUCAUUGCAAUGUUUUAUGUAAUGUGGUGGUGGUAUCACUCGACUGGUUGAUCCAGAUUGGUUACACGUCCUUCGUUUAAGGGUUUGUUUAGGUUGGUGGAAUUCUGUGAAUUUUUCUUACAGGGAAGUGAAUGAAGACGAGGUGAACGUCUGCGGUACAGUAAGAUGAGUUUGGACAACGUGUGCGGAAAAGGACGAGAGCUCGCUUGCACUCCAUCGAUACUGUCUACAGGCUAAAGGUAACAAGAACGAGGUCAAAGGAAACGCCAAGCAGCAAUAGCUAGCGUCUUACAAAAUGUCGAUUCGACACAGAAUAAUCAAUCCAUACGUUGAUGUGAUGCCAAAGUAGAAUAAGGCUAUAGAUGUAAUAUUACUCAAUUUCCAUGCGGGGCUAUUUCGACCGGGUGGAUUCGGCAUUUACGCUCUCUCCAACUAUUCUCUC